GAAUAAAUUAUAGUGUUAGGUAUCUUAUAGAUUUAAUAAGGAAUCGGGUGCAAUUCCCGAACGGUCCGGCCACUGUGAAUGGCUAGUUGGUUUCUGAAAUACCACUGGAUGAAUUUCUGGGAAGGUAGAAACUAACGCUGACAGCCUGAGUCAGGAUACUUGCCUAACACUCUACUGACAC
rnacentral:ncRNA from 2 species